GACGAACGCUGGCGGCGUGCUUAACACAUGCAAGUCGAACGGAAAGGCCCUGCUUGCAGGGUACUCGAGUGGCGAACGGGUGAGUAACACGUGGGUGAUCUGCCCUGCACUUCGGGAUAAGCCUGGGAAACUGGGUCUAAUACCGGAUAGGAGCCAUUUUUAGUGUGAUGGUUGGAAAGUUUUUUCGGUGUAGGAUGAGCUCGCGGCCUAUCAGCUUGUUGGUGGGGUAAUGGCCUACCAAGGCGGCGACGGGAAGCCGGCCUGAGAGGGUGGACGGCCACAUUGGGACUGGGAUACGGCCCAGACUCCUACGGGAGGCAGCAGUGGGGAAUAUUGCACAAUGGGCGCAAGCCUGAUGCAGCGACGCCGCGUGGGGGAUGACGGCCUUCGGGUUGUAAACUCCUUUCGCUAGGGACGAAGCUUUUUGUGACGGUACCUAGAUAAGAAGCACCGGCUAACUACGUG
rnacentral:rRNA from 1 species